UUCAAGUCUGUGCCACGGUUUCAAGAAAAUCUGAAGCUGCAGAUGGAAUCAGAGUUUGGACCUUGUGUUUUCGCUGGAGUUCCUGGUUCCUUCUACCAAAGGCUCUUCCCCGCCAAAAGUCUUCAUUUUUUUCACUCAUCGUAUAGUCUUCAAUGGCUAUCCCAAGUAUGUCUUCCCCAUUUUCUUUUAUAUAACAUUCAUAAUGUUUUCAUUGAUUAUAAGUAACGUUGAUUUUGCUUCUUAGGUCCCUGAAUUGGAAGAGGUUAACAAAGGAAACAUUUACAUGGCAUGUUCAAGCCCUCCAAGUGUGAUAAAGGCAUACAUCGAUCAGUUUGAGAAGGAUUUCUCGACUUUCCUGAGCUGCCGAGCAGAAGAAUUGGUAACUGGUGGCCGCAUGGUUUUGACAAUUUUGGGGAGAAAAAGUGUAGAUCCUUGUAGCAAGGAUGGUUGCUACAUUUGGGACCUUUUAGCUCUGGCCCUUAAGCAGAUGAUUUCUGAGGUACAUAUCUGAAUAUAUGUUGAAUAACCUUAGGAAAAUUGUCUAAAUUGCUUGCAAUGCACACUGGGUUUCAGCAUAGAACAAUUUUUGUUUACUUUCAAACCACUAAACAAAUUAGAAAUUAGGUUUAAUCGAGUUUUAUACAAAGAAGUUAAUACGCUUGCAAUCUUUAAACCAGACAUCCGAGUUGUCAAUCGUAGAAGUAAAAGAGUUGUACUUUUAAAUUCUCAAAUUACAAAAUGUAACUAGCAGAAGUAGAAUAAUACUCAUGAAUUCUUAAUUGUGCAUAGUACUUUAAAGAGAGGACAUAUGUUCAGAAACAAGUUAUGCGUGGUCGGAAUUGAUUGAUUUUGAGGGGUCAGAAAUUGGAAGAACCAAAUCUUACAAUUUUGAUAACAUUACUACAUAUUUAGUUAGGAUUUCUCCACAUGUUUGUAUGAUCCUCGAGUGAUUAAAGAUAUUAAUUAGACAACUUCAUGUCGACAUAACAACUUUGACCGCAUAAACAAAGUAUUUAGCAAGGAUUCUAUGGAUUGGUGCUAACAGAUCAACAUCACGAUGCAGGGCCUAAUUGAAGAAAAGAAACUAGAUUCAUUCAAUAUCCCACAAUACACACCAUCACCUGCAGAAGUAAGAUCACUUGUUGAGAUGGAAGGGUCUUUUACGGUUGAUCGUCUCGAGGCAACUGAGAUACAUUGGAAUGCACAUGAUAGUGAAUAUUUUGAAUUUGAUGAAUUCAAGGAUGGUGGCUAUAAUGUUGCCAAAUGCAUGAGAGCUGUGGCUGAACCCUUGCUUGUUAGUCACUUUGGUGAGGGAAUAAUAGAAGAAGUGUUCUCCAGGUACAAGAAAAUACUUUCUGAUCGCAUGUCCAAAGAGAAGACUCAGUUCAUCAAUGUGAUUGUCUCUUUGGCUAAAAGGGCAUGAUAAUAUGCAAUGUGUUCCCCUAAGAACCACACCUUGACAAUGGUUUGUUAUGAAAUUUCUUUGCCUAUACUUGCAAAGAAGCAGUCAAAAGGGACCCGAAAAGGGGGUCCAUUGUUAUGCUGUACUCUAGUCGUUCAUUUUUCGUGCAAUAAAAGAUUAUUGUCGAUUGCUGUUGUUGUAUUGGUAAAACAAUGUCUUUUACCAAUUUGCUUCGUAGAUGUAUUAAACAUAAUGAAAAAAAUCUUACCAUUGAUCUUUGAGAUUAUCUUUUUAUUGCCAAGGUUUAAUGGUAAAGUUUGAAACAAAUAUCCACUGCCAGAUACAUUAAGAUACAUUAAGCUUUUCUGGGAUUCAGAGUUUCAAAAUGUGUUUAUUACGUGAUAAUGAAAAUACCUCGAGAGUGUCUACCAAAAAGUCCAAUAUGUAAGUCAGAAACUCAAUUCUGACCCAAAAACUGAAACUGUUUGGUCUCGGGUCCUUAGUUUCGGGUCCUUAGUUACAUCUAAACCCUUCUUUAACCUGUAGACUUUAUUUUUUUGGCCUUUUUUCACAUAACUUGUAGGUUGCUCGACAUAUACUUUCUCUUCAAUAAUUCCAUUCAAAAAGCAGAUUUCACAACCAUUUGAUAAAUAUUUCAAGAAUUAUUGGCAGCAAUAGAUAUAAUCAUGCGAGCAGUAUCAAGUCUGGCAACUGGAACAAAAAUUUCAAAUUAAUCAAUACUUGCCUUUUGCUUGUAUCCUUUAACCACCAAUUUUACUUUGUAACGGUCUAUCUCACUAAUUGGCUUGUACUUGGUCUUGUAGAUCCACUUGACACCAAUGAACUUCUUCCUAUAUGGAAGUGUGAUCAACUCCCAUGUCUUAUUUUUCUCAAUUGCAUGUAUCUCCUCAUCCAUUAUUUGACUCCAAUGAUCACCCAUGACAGCCUCCUCAAAGGUAACUCGGUCUCAAUUUACAAAUAAAGCAAAUUUUACAAUAUCUUCAUCAAACAAUUCAUUAUCAUUACCAACAACAUAAUCUUUCAAGCGAGCUGGCAUGCAAUGUUCUCGUUGUGGACGAUUAGAUGACUGCACAAGAUUUGAUUGCACCCCAGAAAAUGAAGAAUCACCAGUGUGUUGUCUAGACUGCUCUACUGGUUGAUUAGAAGAAUUCCCUUCAUCCAAAUAAAAUGGCAUUGGUGGAUACUUUGGUGUAGAAUCUGUAACUUUUUUAGUCAAAUCCCAAACUCCUUGCUCAUCAAAUGUGACAUCUCUGCUAAUAAUCAUCUUUCCUGUAUCUGGAUUGAGCAGCAUGUGACCUUUGGUUUCAUGACUAUAACCAAGGAAAAUGCAUUUUUCUGUUUUGUCAUUAAUUUCUUCCCAAUAGCAUUUGGAACAUGGGAAUAGGCAAGACAACCAAAUACUUUUAAAUGAGAAAUAUUUGAUUUCUUACCAGUCCAUAACCCCUGUGGUGUCUUUCCGAAAUUGCAUUUGUGUAGGAGAUUUGUUAGAUACAUAUACAGUAUAAGCAACUGCAUCGGCUCAAAAAUCUUUAGGCAUGUUCUUGGCAUGCAUCAUUGAUCUCACUAUAUCCAUUAUAGUCUGAUUUUUCCUCUCUGCUAUUCUAUGCUAUUGAGUAGUGUAUCCGGUUGUCAACUAUUGUUUAAUCCCAUGUUUCUCCAAAAAAUCAUCAUAGACAGUAAAUUCAGUGCCUCUGUCAGCUCUCAAAAUUUUAAUAAAUUGGCCACUUUACUUCUCAAUAUAUACUUUAAAACUCUUAAAAAUAUCACAAGUUUCAGAUUUAUUCUUCAAAAAAUAUACCCAAAAUUUUUUGUUAAAAUCAUCAAUGAAAGUAAUAAAAUAUUUACUACCUCUAUUGGAAGGUACCUUAAUUGAGCACAGGUUUGAAUGUAACAAUUCCAACGAACGAUCAGCCCUCCAAGUCUUGUUUUUAGAAAAAGAAUCUCUGUGUUUCUUUUUCAAAAUACAAGACUCGCAAAAAAGUGCUUUGUAGAAAAAUCAAUAGAAGACAGUCCAUACACCAUAUUCUUUCUAACAAGAAAACUCAAACUCUCAAAAUUCAAGUAACCAAAAGGCAUGUGCCACAAGCAAAUAUCAUAAAAAACAACAUAACUAAAGUAACGCAAAUCAUCACAAUUAAACGUGAUAGGCCAUAAGCGCUAGUGUUCAUGUGUACCUUUGCUAUUAGUUUCAAACAAUCAUCAAUAAUAGUACCAAUGCCAUAUUUGAAUCAUAAAUCAAAUCCUUUUUUAGUAAAUUAUCCAAGACUCAGUAAAUUAUGAUGAAGGUUUGGCACAUAGAAGACAUCAGAGAUAAAAUAAGAUUUUUCAUUCUUCAAAGUAAUCUUGAUUUUUCCUUUCCCAAGUACAGGCACUCUUUCAUUGUUGCCAAACUUAACAAAAGAUCUAAAAGAUUUAUCCAAAUCAUCAAACAUAUUUUUGUCACCAUAGCAUCCGGAAUCCAAAAACUAAUUAUUCUUUUUAUUUUCUUCCACUUCUGAGUUAGAGAAUAAAAUAGUUUCAUCAUUUUCACCAUUAUUCUCUGCUAUAUUGGCAUGACCGCCUUUAUUGUUAGAAUUAUACAAGCAUUCACUUUUCUAAUGACCAAUUUUUUUUUUUUUUUUUGUAAUUAUGGCACUGAAUAUUAUGUCUGCGAGAAUCAUUAUUUUCUAACUCGUUAUUGGGAUAAUUAUUGUUACAUCUCUGUUGGUAAAAAUUACCUCUGCCACGACCUCUAAAAUUGCACGGUCUCAUCCUCUUCCUCUGAAAUUUUAAUUUUUUUGACCGGAGCCAUCACCAUUCUCUUUGGGUUUAUCUAUCUGCACCUGCAACGCUUUCGCCACCGUUUCUUUUUCUGCACCAUCUUCCAAUUUUUCAUUAAUUUUUUGUUUAUGAAGAGUUAACUAACCCUGCAAUUCUUCAAUGGUCAUAGUUGAGAGAUCUUUUGCCUCUUGAAUCCCGGCAACCACAUGAUCAAAUUUCAUGGGUAAAGUAUUGAGGGCUUUUUCUGCUAGCACCUCAUUACUAAGAUCAUAAGCAUUGUGCUCCAUCUCAUUUUUUAUGUCAAUCAGUAUGAAAAAAUAUGAUUCAAUUGUCUCUAAAUUUUUCAUAGUGAUCAACUCAAAUUUCCUUUUCAACAUCAGCAGAUUAUUUUUCUGAACUCUGUCAACUCCUUUGUAUGUUUUCGCCAAAUUAUCCCAUGCUUGUUUUGCAGUUUUGGCAUUAGCAAUUUUUUCAAAAAUCGAAGCAUCAAUUGCCUGGUGGAUUUGAGACAGCACCAUACUUCCUUGCAUCUUGACACUUCUUCUUCAUGUGCAACAAUUUCUUACUGAACAAAUUGAAACAAAUUAUACGCGUCAAGAUGAGUUUCCAUCUGCAUUCUCCAAAAACUGUAAUCUUUUUUUCCUGUGAGUUUUGGUACUACACAGGUAAUAUUACUUGGUACAAUUGAUGUAGUUGAUGCAGACAUGGCUUAUAAUAAAGCUAACUCUGAUAUCACUAUGCAGGCCCAAAAAAAUAAUCAAUAUAAGUCACAAGGCUUUCACGAUUGAAUGAAACCACGAGAAGACAAAAUAAAUCCUAAAAGACUAGAAGACAAAAUAGAGGAAAGGGGACCAGAGGCUUUUAUUAUCUCUCUGAAUCUUUUCUUUCUUUCUUACAUCGAUAGACCAAGACCUAUGGUCUAUAUAAAGACUACCAAAUACCAAAAUUCAAUUGGGAUUUAAACUACCAACCCUCCAUAUACACGAAUUAGGCUGGCGAUAGAGGGUAGUUUCCUAAACUUUGGGCCAAUCGUCCAAUUUAGGGCCUACAAUAAACUUUUAAUCGCAUUGUGUGCUCCAAAAGCAGAGAAGGGCCUCAAUGGAAGAAUGUGGUUUUGGUUUAUAAGCAUUUUGUCGACCUACACACUCAACCCUCAAAAUUUAUUAACCCUAAACAAGGGGGAAAAGAGGUAAUUUAAUGCUCAUUAAAUUUCUUCUCUUUCCUUCUUUCUUCCAUUCCUAAAGUGUAUACCAAAUAUUAGCCACUCCAAAGAGUUGAAGAUACCUGUAUGCUCCUGCGCUUCACUUCCUUUGAGAUAUUCUUUUGAGUACCCAAAAUUUGGGCACCAUAGGUGACAUUUGUCCAUUUGGCCAAAUUUCAACAUUUCUAUUCAAUAAAAGUGUCUAUUAGUGCUUAUAACCCUAAGUCCUAGGAUAUUUGUUUCAAUUGUGGGUUAGAUAUAGCAAAUUUCUCUACCAUAAUCUUUAUUAGGGUCAGUCAGAUUACAAUAUUUUGCUUUGAGAUGAUUUAGCUAAUUAGUGUUGAAUCUUAGGAUAUUAGUACGAAAGUCGCUUAUAAACAUGUGAAAAUCAAUUAAGAAGAUUCAUAACAAUUGUUAUGAACUGGAUAUGGACAAUUCAAAUAAGAUUUUAUUCUCGAACAAGAAUCCAUUUUUUUAUUUAUUUCAUCCAAUUCAUGUCCGGAAUAGUUGAUGAUACACCUUACACCAUGAUUUUGAAUUAGAAGAAAAAUUUCAAAAAAUGACAAAUCUAUUCACUCUACCAAGAAUCGAGCCGAAUCUAGUGCAUCAUAACGGAUUUGCCUUUUCUAUUAACUCCUAUGUGUUGGAUAAAAAACAAUUCUUGAAUGAGGUAUUCAACUCCAAGGAUGAAUCGAAAAAGAAAUCUUUAUUGGUUCUACCUCUUAUUUUUUACAAAGAGAAUGAAUCUUUUUCUCAAAUCCUCUAUAACUCAAAAUUCUCUAUUUCUCUAGCCAGUUCCGCUCUACCUUUUUUUUCUUGAUGUAAAAUCAGACAUGUAUCCGACACAGUCUAGUUGGUUUGUGGUAAUUAUGAUGCUGGUGCUUGUCCUUUUCAAUGCCAGAUUUCUUUAGUUCAUCAGAUGACCAAACUUUGACGAUGCUAGCAUUAUGGAAAAAUUGUUCAAAACGUUCCUUAUAUUUUGUAAAAUAAUCGGUCAUAAGUCAAAUUCUAUAGUCAUGCUAAUAAGUUGCAAUUUAAAUAUGAAAUUUUUACUCGCCACCUUUAAGACCAUCAGUUAAAUUUCUUAUCUUGUGAAUAUUUUAAAAUUUGAAAGUGUCAAUCACUUAUUUCUUUUUUCAUACUUUUCCUUUGUUUAUUUUUCUGUCCAAAUUUAAUAUGAUAAAAACACUUGAUAAUGUUUAGGAUUAAUUAUCUUUUUUGUUUUCAAUUUUCGAGUAAAAGGGAAUGAACAUGAGUGAAAAACUAACAUUUUUUUAAAAUUCAUGUAUGUAUCUAUUUUAAUUUCACCUGAACAAUACAUUCAAGCGAAAUCAAAUAGAGAUAUAUUACGUGCUAUUCAUAUUGUUCAGGUGAAAUCAAAUAGAUAUUUACAUGACUUUAAAAAAAGUUAUUCGUACACAUCAUCAAUAAGGGAUGAAAAAAUUUAUUUUGCAAAAUACGAAGAAUGAAAAAUUCAUUUUGUGAAAUGUCAGGGACGAAAUAAUUCAUUUUGUAAAAUGUGAGGGACAAAACAAUUCAUUUUGUGAAAUGUGAGGGACAAAACAAUUUAUUUUGUAAAAUAUAACGGACUAUAGAUUGGAUUAUGUAAAUUUUGAUUUGCUAAUUUGCACUUCAAAGAUGAUCAUGUGCAAAGUACGUGGUGGAUUUCAACAAAAAACUAGUUAGAAAUCUAAAUAGGGGCUAAAUUUGAUCAAUGUAAAUUUGUAAGGGACGUAAAAGUACACUUUUAAAAGUAAAGGACGAAAAAAGUAAUUUUACAAAAUAUGAAGGACAUUUUCAAUGAUUUUCCCUUUUGAAAGAUUCAAAUAGAACAAACUUGAGGUUGUUAAGCUGUAGUUCUUUGCUAGACCAUUUGUCUUUAAGGCCCUUCUGCAUAGAACUGCAAAUACCAAUGGCCUAUAUCACGGCUAAUUGCUUAGAAUAUAUGUAAAAAAAAAAACAUCGCACAAAUGUAUCUCUGGCACACUCUAUUUCUCAUUCUAUGACUCAGCACGGCUGCAGAAUGCAUUGUCAGAAACUCUGCAAAAAUGUCAGUGGGUCAGCGGCUCACAAUUUUUUUUUAAAUUUGCCUGUCCCCAGCCGUGCUAACUGGGCACGGCUGCGGAUAGGCGGUCAAAAAAAAAAAGGGCCAGGGGCCUUUGUUUGUCAGCCUUUCUCAGGCUGAUUUCUCAGCCUUUCUGUACCCUAAAUAAAUUUCAUUACUUUAAUUUUCAAAAUAACUUGAUUAAACUAAAUUUUAACCAUAAUCUUAAAUAUACUUCAUUUCAUUAAUUUUUAAAAUAAAUACAUUAACCUAACCUCACUAUUCAUGUCCCCAGAUGCCUUUUGUAUUGUAAGUAUCCCAUUUGUUUUUUACUUCAAUUUUGUAUUAUUAUUAAACCAUUAUUAAAUGCAUAAUAGUUGUUAAUUAAAGAAGGAUUCAUGUAUUCCAAUAAACAGGAAUUAAUUAUUAUAAUUACUUUGGCUUGGUGUACGUAAUAAUACAACCAAUUCGGAUCAAUAUUUUUUCCGAAACAACAUUUUUGCAUCUUCCAAGAAUUUUCCAUUCUAUAUAUUUUUUUAACUACAUUUUUACAUUGCACGCAGCAUAUAUGAUAUUUUACAAAAGUCCACGACUACAGGAAUUCUUCAUCUAUAUCAAUCUCUUCCCCAAAAUUUUUUAUUGAUAUUUGUAGAUUAAAACUUUUUUCUUUUUUAUUGUUCUCAUCACUUGUCAUGACAAUUGAUCGUGAGUUAAAAUAUUUACAAUCGGAUAAACCUCUCGGAAUUUUGAUAACAAUUUCUAUUGAUUAAAUUCUAUUUUUGAUUAAAUAGUCCAACUUCUAUUUUUUAUAACAAUUAAAUUAUUGAAUAAAUAGUGUAUCUUGAAAGGCAAAGCUUUUGUCCCGUAGCACGACAAGGUCGUACUUCGAUUGACGGGCAGGUUUCUUAUAUUUACCUAAUUAAAGAACUUUAUGCAUGUAAAAACCAAUAAUUUUAAUUAAUUGUUCCCUCCAUUCUAUAUGAAUUAUAUUAUAGUAAUUCUCGGUGAUUAUAUAAAUUUUAUAUAUUUAAGAUUAUGGUUAAUUAGUUUAAUCAGGUUAUUUGAAAAUUAAUAGUAACAAAAUUUAUUUAGGAUAAGAAAGGCUGAGAAAGGCUGAGAAAUCAGCCUGAAAAGGCUGACAAACAAAGGCCCUGGCCUUUUUUUUUUUGGACCGCCCCCAUUGUCCCCAGCCGCUGCCCAGUUCAGCAUGGCCUGGGGACAGGCUAAUUUUAAAAAAAAAUUGUUGGGCCUGCUGCUCCCACUGGCAUUUUUGCAGAGUUUCUGACAAUUCAUUCAGCUGCUGUGCUGAGUCAGCACGGCAAUUAUAGAAUGAGAAAUAGAGUGUGUCAGAGAUACAUUUGUGCUAUGUUUUUUUUUUUUUUUUUACAUAUAUUCUAAGCAAUUAGCCCUAUAUCACUUGCAUCCAAUUAGUGACAGGAUUUUGAUGAAGAUGCAUUGUUCUCCUGUCAGAAUCUUGACAUCCAAUUCUGAAAUGUCUUCUCUUUCUCUCUUUCAUAUUCUCAGGAGUUCUUCAAGCAUUAACUCCAUUCCGGAAUGAAUCAUUGAACACUUAUUUAUCCUACCAAAAGGGAAAGGAAAAAAACAACUGGAAAUCAUAUUCCAUGGAAACCAUGAUAAAUUAUUGAACCGCAUUUGCAAAUAAAAUGUCAAAUAUUGUUGCUCGCAAAUAUAGAAGUAUAUGCAUUGAUCACGUGACCUGUCCCUCAAUUUCUUACAGUGUUUUCAAAAUUAGAUAUUACGUACACGCGAUGGCUUGCAACCUUUUUCAACAUAAUGAUGUGAGUAUUGAGAAGACAGAAUAACAAUUCUUAUUUACACCGAUUGGUAGUGGAGAAGUUUUUUGCACUUUUUAAGAAAUUGGUGUGUGUUUGGAGCACACAUUAUUUUUUUAAAUUUUUUUACUUGUAUCAUAAACACAUUAUUUAUUUAUUUUUUAUCUUACAAACAUCACAUCAAAUGAGUGUUAUAGUAUUUUUUUUCCCAAAAAUUAUCCUAAAUAAUCUUCUAUCCAAACACACAGAUUUCACCUAUCAGAGUUGCCAGUUAUAGUCGACUCUUUUUUUUUUGGGGCUUUUGGAUGUAGUCAUUACUCCAGUACUCCAGUUUUUAUUUUUAAAUCAUCGUGCAAUUGGGUGACAACUAUAUGUUUUAAAGGUAGAUUAUUGGUUGACGUUACUGAUCUAGUCAUUGUAUAAUUGACUUGAAUGACUUGAUCGACAGUGACUGGUAUAUUCCAAAAGGAAAAAAAAGAAAAAGAAAAAGAAUGAUCUAUAGGCACAAACCUAACUUUGAAGAUAAAUAUUUUAACUUUUCAAAAAUUGUAUUCGAAUGAAAAAUCAGAAAGUUUGAAGCCAUCUCUCACACCAUUUAGCUGCAUCUAUUUUGACUAUUUUCCACGAAAAUAUGGCUGGGAAUGUAUUGAGGGACCAGAAAAAUACGUUUUGAAUUUGUUAGGGACUAAAAUCUUUAUUUUGUAUGUAAGGAGCUAAAAUUUAACACCAGUAAAAUGUGAAGAAGAAUUGUUAUCAUUUACUCCAAAUUUUUUUCUUACUUAGAUAAUGCUUCAAACUUUUUCGUUUGAAAGCAUUUUGUUAAUAUUUGUAUUUCAAAACAUGAUGGUAAAUGAAAUAUCACCAAAAACAUAUGACUACAUUAUUCUGGUUAUACCAAAACACGUGGAUAUUCUAUAUUACAUUUCAAAAACUUGCUUCUGAGCACUAAAGUAGAUUAUUUAAAGUAGCAUAUUUAGUACCAAUAAGAAAACAUGCCUUUAGAGAAUUGGCAAUACAUAUCAACCUAAAUAGAAGUUAUUACUUCUUUAUCCUUUAUUGAGAUAAUUUAUUAUACUAUAAAGAGUGUGUUUUUUCUAUAUUCAACUUUGACUACUGUUAAAGCAUAUUAGAGUUUUAUGUAAUUAAUUUCUAUUAUAAUGUGAAAUAAGUCUUGUACAUAAGUUUGUAUUUUGAAAAAUAAUAAAGGGUAAAAAUGCCAGUAUAAUCAAUUUUGGGUGAAGCUGACUUUUCUAAAGUUUGACCAGUUUUCGUGACAGGUAAAGUAUGUAGCUUUAAAAUUGAGGAUGAUGAAGUGUGACUACCCCAAAUCAUCGAGGGAGCUAAGUGUGAUUAACCCUUUUAGAUUAUGUGGUUGAAUCCAUCAUUGAACUGUAAAUUUAUAUAUAUGGUGCUGUAUUAUGGCAUACAUUUGGUGUUUUAAUGUAUGCAUUUAUUGUUUAAGCACUUACAUUAAAUUACAAUUAGAUCUUGCAAUUGUAUUGGCUCUUGGUCUAGUUUCGUACUAAUAUGUUUCGUACUAAUAUUGUGGUCCAAAUUUUAAUGAUACCAUCUUAUGAUUAUGUUGUCUUAGUCUUUUUUUUUUUUUUUUCACAGUAACGAUAACAAUUCUAGAGGGAGGGGAGCCAAAAGAGGGAAUGAUAUGAUUAUGUUGUCUUAGUCAGUCGGUAGGUUCACGAUUAUGUUGUCUUAGUCGGUAGGUUCAUGUUUAAGAACACAUUAACCUAACAACUGGUUCAUGUGUAUGCAUUAAAGAUAAGCGUAUAUAAUAUAAACACGUUGUGGAGGCCUAUUGUGGAUUUGUCCACCUUGGCACCUUCUUGGGCAGGAGAGUGAGCCUUGCUGCCUGUUGGUGCUUUUGGGGGGCCUCUCCAGGAUUCGAACUCUCGACCUUGAGGUGCUUUUGGUGCUCUAAUUUUUUUUUUUAACGUUGAGAGCACUGCAAGUAACAAAUAGUAUAACUGAUUUAGCACAAAGCAAUGACCAUUUGGUCUUCUUUUAAUGUUUCUAGUUGACCCAUUGAUGAUACUAAAUUUUAGUUAUGAGUACUAUAGGCUUCAAGCCUGGAUUAGUGUGGAUGACCUCGCCUACUGAUAGAGCCAUUUCUUCGUAUGAUUUAUUGAUCUGGUCCAUUUGGGUGAAAUGCAGAAACAGACAAUAAUACUAAAGGCUUUUUCUAGGUGCUCUGUUCUAUAAGAUUUUGACAAAUGAGGCGUCCAUAAAUAUGAUUACUAGAAAUAAUUGUGUAAAGUGGGGUUGAUGGUUGAGAUUAUCCUUCUUUAACUUUUGGGUGGUUGAAAUCAAUAUUGAGAUACAAUUUGAAAUAUGUGAUUGAAAGCAUGGUUGAAGAGUAGCCACAUAUACAUGUGUUGCAUUAUCGUGCACGUUGAUUGUUUUAUGUACACAAUUCUUGUCUAAGCAUCUAUAUUAGGAAAGGACAAUCGAUCAAUUUCUAGUUUUAUCGUUUCCUAAUUGAUCAAUUUUGCAAUUUUAGAGCUGGACCACUAAUUUGACAAUUUAUUGACAGAUUACGUGUUCAAUUAUCUUGUUUUUAUUAGAAUUGAAAUGGCAAAAAGAUAAUAGAUGAAUAUAUAUAGAAAACCAAAACAAACACACACACACAUACACAGAGGGAGUGGCAAGGCCAUAAAAUUAUUCAUUUUGAUUUGAAGCAUCAUGUCAGACUCCUAAAAAGUCAUCUCCAAAUUAGAGUGCAAACACCACUUAAUUAUUCUGAUCCAAGUUUUAAUGAUACCAGCUCAAUUUUAAGUAGUCUCAAUAAGUUGAAAAACUCUCAUUCUGGCUUAUCUUUUUAAUUUUCCCCACCUCAAUUUUAUAUGUUUAUAUAUAUAAUGUGUCUGUCCGAGACUUCUAUAUUCAUAAAGAGAUCGAGUCCCAUGAAGGAAACUAACCAAAAUUUGUCUACAUCUGUAGGCAAUUAUCAUUCUCCACUAACCAAGAUUAGUGUUUUAGUGUUUCUUAAAGUGAAUGCUUGGCGGGGUCAGUGUCCAGCUCAAUUAUUUAUUAGAGUAAUAAAACACACUCAAGAGGGAAAGUUAUGCUAGUUGUAAAAUCUAAAAUCCUAUUUGCAAUUACGGGACAAUUCUAAGAGUAUGAUGAAAAAUAAAAAAGUUCCACAAAGGGGGUUACUUUGGUGUCCUAUUCCGACAAGGGAGGUAUUCGCAUUCUAUAAAUACGAUAUGUGCUAAGUUCACAUUUCUCAUAUGCGAGUUUAAGAGUUUAUGCUCUUUACCAAUUCCUUCACACGUAUCAACAACUUAGAGUUUAUAUUUAUCUCAUUAUUUGUUCAUCCUUUGUAAAACUCUUUUUCCUUUCUCUUGAUGUCAAAGAGUAAAUCAUGAUGAUUUCCUUUUCUUGUUUUUAUCUUUUUUGUCAAUAAUUCUAUAAAAUGCAGAUGUAAAAACAAAAACAAGCAACCAUAAUGUUUUCACAAAAAUAAAAUAACAAACAAAAAAAAAGAAAGGUGAGAGCUUACAUUCACAUUUUUUGUUUUUUUUUUUUUAAAGAAUUGUACAUGAGUUAUUCUCUUAACAAAAUGGAGUUUGUUUAGAAAAAUAAAGUUAAAAAAAUAAUAUCCUCCAUGAAGAAAAAUUUGAACGCCCAAAUUUCUUAUAAGAAAGCUUGGUAUGAUAGAAGAAGAGCUAUUGAGCUUGUUUAUGGCAUUUGGGGUACCAAUUUUGUUGAAUUACUGAAGUAUGUGGAACCAUUUGUGAUUUGUCCAAGUAAGUAAUAUUAGUGUUUAGUUAAUAUCUUCUUUAAACCUUACAUGAAUGCUAAAAUAAUGAUUUACUCUUGAUUACAUCAAUAAUCAUUCAGUAUGGUUUUAACGUGACAUUCAAGAUUAAUAGAUUUUUUUUGGCAAUCACUUAAUAACCUACAAAUUCAUCCUCCAUAAUUUUACAAAACAAAAAACAAAAUCCACACUCGCAUAAAAAAUAUAUGGCCUGCUUAAUUUUGCAAAAAAGAAAAGAAAAGAAACGCAUGAGCCUUGGAUUGAAAUAUAAAAGGCUCCCUUCCUCGCAUAUGUUAAAUGCGAGGUCCAUCACCCCGCACCUACAAAUGCGAGGUUACUUGACCUCGCACUUGCCAAAUGCGAGGUCUGAAGUAAUUCUUUUUUUUGUUUUUGUUUUGGUUGAUUGGAAAUUCAAUGGGACAUUGCAUUUCUCAAAUGCGAAGACCCCUUGGUGGAAGUUCAUACUUAAAACACCCUUUUUACAGAAAUUUUUUAAAAUUCAUCAUGAAAUUGGAAAUUUCUCAUUGAAUUUAUGCAAGUUAUGUUCUAAUACUUGAGCAUUUGAAGCAAUGUGGUAGGUAAAGCACGAGACUAGACAUACAAAACAGAUCAUAACAAGAGCCAAUGUGCACAUUCAUUGUAGCUUAAUCGGGGAAGUCCCAUGAAAAUGUGAGCUUCCUCUUUCGAAAAUUAUAUCAGAAAAUUGCCUCGAUAGUUAUUGAACUUUUUCAAAGGGUUCAUAUUAUCAAGACAUGGACUGUAGUUCCUAAUUCUAGGGAUGGUAAUGUGUAAGGAAAAACUCGAUAUCCGUAGGUACAUGACCCAAUAGUUAAUUUGAUUAGACAACUGAUAGGUUAUUCGUUAAGAUUUAGUAUUGAUGAGAGUUUAUCGACGAAUAACCCGAGAGGGCUUGGUGAAUAUAUAUAUAUAUAUAUAUAUAUAUAUAUAUAUAUAUAUAUAUAUAUAUUCUCGGAUCUCAAUUUUCUAGUGCAAUAGCGCAUAACUCAUUAAUUCUAAACCAACUAGUUACACAACCCACAAUCCUCUUAUCCUCUUUAAUUUGUAUUUUUAUUCUCUAUAUUUGUCUUGUGAAGUGUUAUUUGUCAUGUUUAAUAUAAAACUCAUUGUUUGGAAAUGACCUUGAGAACAGUUGUCUAAAUCUUCUUUUGGAUUUUCCUGAAAUUGCUAAUAGCUAGAGGCAUGAUUUAACUAAAAUUCUCAAAUAGAGACAAUUGUAAUUAAAAAUGCAAGAAUAUCGAUUUAAUUCUUCAUUUUUUCAUAUGCAGGUUCUAUUGCUCAACCCAAACUUAAAACUCAAGUAGUUCGUUGAUUUACGAUGGUGUAUAAAUUAAUUUUAGUUCGAUAAAAGUUAGUUUGAUACAGUAUCAAUCCUUGCCACGAUAAAAAAAACACAGAAAACCCAUUGACAACCAAUUUUAUACCCCCAAAUUAAAUAUCAAUGCUCAAUUACCUUGUCAAUAUAAAAUAAUUUGAUCUAGAACCACCAUUACAACUGUCCUAUGAUCUUAAAAAUAUUAAUAUCUCAAAAGUAGAUAACAAAUUCUACCUCCACAAUAAAAUCAUAAUAAAAAAUUUCUAAUCCAAUGAAAGAAAUCAUUAUGUAAUUAUUGAUAUUUUAUAAAAAUUUUCUUAACAACAAACAAAGUAUGAUAAAUUCCACAUCUUAAGUUCUUCUUCCUAUUUCAAUCAUCAAUUUCAUUAUUUAUUUCUCUAUCAUGCGAGUCUCUUCAUUUCCUUCUAGUUUGACGCAUAAUCUACUCCCUUUAUAGAUUUUGUAAUUUUAAUUUGCUAAUAUCUACAAAAUUGAAGAUAAUAAAAAGAGAUUAUAUUAACUAGAAAAUAGACAAGAGACAAAAAAAUUGAUUUUUUUUAAGAUUUUGUAAAUUUAUUACCUUAAAUUUAAAAUUGUCUAUUAAGUAGAGGACAUUGUAGGUAUUUUACUAUGUCAAGGGAAGUAAGUGUAAUUUCUUAAACCUGAGGGGAGCCGAGUGGAAUUGUCAGGAACCUCAAGGAAGGUUUCUGAAAUUAUCCCUUAAGUAAAUCUGCACAACCAUUGGGGGGAGGACAGAGGCACAAGGAGCAUAUCAGCUUAUUUUAAAAGAUAAGAUUUCGAAUGAUCUCUUUUUUUUCCUUCUUUUUCUCAGUAUUCUUUCGACUAGAGUACAAUUUUCCAGAUUUUAGCUGUACCUCUUUAGGUAAAAAUCUUAAAGUUCGUUCGUAUAUGAUAAAUUGACAACGUUUUUUGUAUCAAUUUGAGAUUAAUGGCUGAUAUUGUCCAAUUCUAUGACAUCAGCCGAUGCAUUUAAUAACGUAGGUAACUUAUGUAACGUAUGCAAUUCAAAACUGUUCAUUCCUUGUGUGUAUCUCAACUUCGCACAAAGAAAUAAUUUUUAGCCACUUUUUUUUAAAGUAUUAAAAUAAUAUCUCUGUCAACAUCCAGGGUGCCAAAUGACCAUUAUAAGUAGGAUAUGAGCACAUUAAGCAAAACCCACAGAUCGAAGCAAAUCAAAGCAAGGAAAAUCAGCUUAAUUAGCUUUGUUUCAUCAAAAGAAAGUCGGUCACGAAAGCGAAAGGGCGAUGGAAGUAAUUGAAGUUCUUCACAUGAAUGGAGGGAAUGGAGAUAAAAGUUAUGCAAACAACUCAUUGGUUCCGGUUGUCUACUUAUCCUUAAUAAAUUAUGCUCUCUUUUUACCUCUAACUUAAUUUUCUUCUUCUCUAUAUAGUUAAUAUAAUCCUUGAACAAUAUAUUUUGUUCUUGGGAUUACUUCCUAACUUCAAAAUUUGCACCAACCUUUAAUCUUGAUACAAUCUUUGCAUGCAUUUUUUUUUUUCCAUUUUUUUGGUGGGUUAUAAGGAAAAAUACAACAAUUUGAUUAGUAUUCAUUUACCUUCAAUUUGGACCAUGCAGCAAAAGGUGAUACUGAUGACCAGGCCAAUAACAGAAGCGGCCAUAAGUGAUCUCUACUGCAGCCUCAUCCCCAAAAGCAUAUGCAUUGCGGACUUGGGAUGUUCAUCUGGACCUAACACUUUUCUGGCUGUUUCUGGGCUCAUCAAAACUGUCGACAAGAAACGCAAAAUUUUAGGCCAUAAAUCUCCAGAAUAUCAGAUAUAUUUGAAUGAUCUUCCUAGCAAUGAUUUCAACACCAUUUUCAAGUCUGUGCCACGGUUUCAAGAAAAACUGAAGAUGCAGAUGGAAUCAGGGUUUGGACCAUGUUUUUUCGCUGGAGUUCCUGGUUCAUUCUACCAAAGGCUUUUCCCCACCAAAACUGUUCAUUUUGUUCACUCAUCUUAUAGUCUUCAAUGGCUGUCCCAAGCAUGUUUUCUCCAUCUUUCUUUCUUUUCUUUUUUUUUUGGUUGGUUUCAAGUUUACAAUUUUUUUUUUAAAUUGAACUUAAGUAAUGUUGGUUUUACUCCUUAG
rnacentral:lncRNA from 1 species